GGUUGCUAGGGUCUUCUGGCUGGGUAGCUGUUUUGAUAGAUUGCUUUUUGGUUGCUAAGGUUCACUGAGUGGUUGCAAGGGGCUUUUGAAAGGUUGCUAGGUGGC